rnacentral:rRNA from 1 species
GUCGAGAAUAAUUCACAAUGGGGGAAACCCUGAUGGUGCAACGCCGCGUGGAGGAUGAAGGUCUUCGGAUUGUAAACUCCUGUCAUCUGGGAGUAAGACCUGACGGUGAAUAGCCGGCAGGGUUGAUAGUACCAGAAGAGGAAGGGACGGCUAACUUCGUGCCAGCAGCCGCGGUAAUACGAAGGUCCCAAGCGUUGUUCGGAAUCACUGGGCGUAAAGGGAGCGUAGGCGGCGUGGUAAGUCAGAUGUGAAAUCCCGGGGCUCAACCCCGGAACUGCAUCCGAUACGGCCAUGCUUGAGGGUUGGAGAGGUAGCUGGAAUUCUCGGUGUAGCAGUGAAAUGCGUGGAUAUCGAGAGGAACACUCGUGGCGAAGGCGAGCUACUGGACAACAUCUGACGCUGAGGCUCGAAGGCCAGGGGAGCAAAAGGGAUUAGAAACCCUGGUAGUCC